rnacentral:rRNA from 1 species
UAUCAGUCAUGCAUAGCAUAUCAAUAAGCGGAGGAAAAGAAACUAACAAGGAUUCCCUUAGUAACGGCGAGUGAAGCGGCGAAGAGCUCAAAUUUGAAAUCUUCAAGGUUUUACCUUGACGGAAUUGUAGUUUAAAGAAGUGUUUUCUGUUGAAGUUUUGGUAAAAGUUCUUUGGAAUAGGACAUCAUAGAGGGUGAGAAUCCCGUAUUUGACCAUUACUUUCAGCUUUGUGAUACACUUUCAAAGAGUCGGAUUGUUUGGGAAUGCAGUCCAAAAUGGGUGGUAAAUUUCAUCUAAAGCUGAAUAUUGGCGAGAGACCGAUAGCGAACAAGUACCGUGAGGGAAAGAUGAAAAGAACUUUGAAAAGAGAGUUAAACAGUACGUGAAAUUGUCAAAAGGGAAGCGUUUGACACCAGUGUUGUUUUCCUCGAAAAUCAAUUAAAAAGAGUUGGAUUUUGUGUUGUAUUGACUUUAUCAGGCUUUCUUCACUCUUUUCCAGCUUUUUUUAAUGCACUUUUCGUUUAACAAGUCAACAUCAGUUUCUUUUGUUGUAAAAAGGUCAUUGGAAGGUGGCUUUCUCUUCGGAGAAAGUGUUUAUAGCCUUUGACUCAUGCAAUCGGAGAGACUGAGGUCUGCAGCGUAGAUCCUUCGGGGUUAGAUACAUUUGUGCUAAGUUAUAGCUUUUCAUAGACAACUUGUUGACUAUGUUUAGUCUUGUAGCUUACUCGCUUAUGCUAUUUUACCUACGCUUAGGAUGUUGAACUCUAUCACACACAG